rnacentral:rRNA from 1 species
UACGUAGGGAGCGAGCGUUGUCCGGAUUCAUUGGGCGUAAAGAGCUCGUAGGCGGCUUGGUAAGUCGGAUGUGAAACCUCCAGGCUCAACCUGGAGUCGCCAUCCGAUACUGCCAUGGCUAGAGUCCGGUAGGGGCCCACGGAAUUCCUGGUGUAGCGGUGAAAUGCGCAGAUAUCAGGAGGAACACCGGUGGCGAAGGCGGUGGGCUGGGCCGGCACUGACGCUGAGGAGCGAAAGCGUGGGGAGCGAACAGG